CGGGGUGUAGCGCAGUCCGGUUAGCGCAUCUGCUUUGGGAGCAGAGGGUCGCUGGUUCGAAUCCAGUCACCCCGA
rnacentral:tRNA from 1 species